AGAAACCAACAGGGAUUGCCCUAGUAACGGCGAGUGAAGCGGCAACAGCUCAAAUUUGAAAUCUGGCCUCGGCCCGAGUUGUAAUUUGCAGAGGAUGCUUCUGGCGCGGUGCCUUCCGAGUUCCCUGGAACGGGACGCCACAGAGGGUGAGAGCCCCGUAUGGUCGGACACCAAGCCUGUGUGAAGCUCCUUCGACGAGUCGAGUAGUUUGGGAAUGCUGCUCUAAAUGGGAGGUAAAUCUCUUCUAAAGCUAAAUACCGGCCAGAGACCGAUAGCGCACAAGUAGAGUGAUCGAAAGAUGAAAAGCACCUUGAAAAGGGGGUUAAAUAGUACGUGAAAUUGUUGAAAGGGAAGCACUUGUGACCAGACUUGGGCCGGGCGGCUCAUCAGGGGUUCUCCCCUGUGCACUCCGCCCGGCACAGGCCAGCAUCGGUUUUCGCGGGGGGACAAGACCGCCGGGAACGUAGCACCCUCCGGGGUGUGUUAUAGCCCGGCGGACGAUACCCCCGCGGGGACCGAGGUCCGCGCUCCGCAAGGAUGCUGGCGUAAUGGUCACCAGUGACCCGUCUUGAAACACGGACCAAGGAGUCGUCCAUUAGAGCGAGCGUUUGGGUGUAAAACCCGCACGCGUAAUGAAAGUGAACGCAGGUGAGAGCUUCGGCGCAUCAUCGACCGAUCCUGAUGUUCUCGGAAGGAUUUGAGUAAGAGUUUUAACGGACGGACCCGAAAGACAGUGAACUAUGCUUGUAUAGGGUGAAGCCAGAGGAAACUCUGGUGGAGGCUCGCAGCGGUUCUGACGUGCAAAUCGAUCGUCAAAUAUGAGCAUGGGGGCGAAAGACUAAUCGAACUGUCUAGUAGCUGGUUACCGCCGAAGUUUCCCUC
rnacentral:rRNA from 1 species